rnacentral:lncRNA from 1 species
GGAGGGGUGGAAGGCUGGGUGAUGCCUACUGGGUGUCUCCUCCUGGGUGCCUAAUGGACAUCUCCAACCCAGCUCACCCAGAUCUGCACUCUUCAAACCUGGUACUUGCCCCACAGUUCCUCAUCUCAACAACUGAAAACUAUAUCCUUCCUGUCACUACAAACAAAACAAAACUACUUCAAGCCAUCAGUCAGGUGAUUUUGUGUAACCAAGACUAUCAUGCCAGUCCUCUGCUCAAGAUUCUCCUAUUGAAAAAACCUUGAGCACUCUGUAGCAUCUGUCCCCCAUGACCUCUCAGGACUCAUCUCAAACUUGUCCCCUCCAGCCACACUGACUUUUUUGCUUUACAAAGAUUCUAUAUGCAUUUUAACACAACAGAGAACUCACCUUUUUGUCACAUAGGUUUCCUGUCUUCAACUAAUUAUGGUGUCAAUGGAGGAUUUGAGGGGCAAACCGUAUCC